GAUGAACGCUGGCGGCGUGCCUAAUACAUGCAAGUCGAGCGAACGGACGAGAAGCUUGCUUCUCUGAUGUUAGCGGCGGACGGGUGAGUAACACGUGGAUAACCUACCUAUAAGACUGGGAUAACUUCGGGAAACCGGAGCUAAUACCGGAUGAUAUUUUGAACCGCAUGGUUCAAAAGUGAAGGACGGUCUUGCUGUCACUUAUAGAUGGAUCCGCGCUGCAUUAGCUAGUUGGUAAGGUAACGGCUUACCAAGGCAACGAUGCAUAGCCGACCUGAGAGGGUGAUCGGCCACACUGGAACUGAGACACGGUCCAGACUCCUACGGGAGGCAGCAGUAGGGAAUCUUCCGCAAAGGGCGAAAGCCUGACGGAGCAACGCCGCGUGAGUGAUGAAGGUCUUCGGAUCGUAAAACUCUGUUAUUAGGGAAGAACAUAUGUGUAAGUAACUGUGCACAUCUUGACGGUACCUAAUCAGAAAGCCACGGCUAACUACGUG
rnacentral:rRNA from 1 species